rnacentral:lncRNA from 1 species
GAACUUUUUAGUUUUCAUUCACAGCAGCUUGCUAAAUACAAUUUUGAGGAAAAGGUAGUUGUAGCAACAAAUGCUCAGGAUGUUCAGUGUUAUCCAACACUUAAUGAUGUUUCAAGUUAAGCACCAUGUUUUCACAAAGAGACUGAAACUAGAAUCAAGAUAGAUGUGUCUGAAGCAGUGAAACACAGACUUAACUGAGUCAUGACUCGAACAGUCGAUACUAA